rnacentral:rRNA from 1 species
GUAGGGAAUAUUGCGCAAUGGACGAAAGUCUGACGCAGCGACGCCGCGUGAGUGAUGAAGGCCUUAGGGUCGUAAAGCUCUGUUGAAUGGGAAGAAAAAAAUGACGGUACCAUUCGAGGAAGGACCGGCUAACUUCGUGCCAGCAGCCGCGGUAAUACGAGGGGUCCUAGCGUUGUUCGGAAUCAUUGGGCGUAAAGGGUGUGUAGGUGUCCAUGUAAGUCAGGUGUGAAAGCCCCGGGCUCAACCCGGGAAGUGCACUUGAUACUGCGUGGCUUGAGUACCGAAGAGGGUAGUGGAAUUCCAGGUGUAGUGGUGAAAUACGUAGAUAUCUGGAGGAACACCGGUGGCGAAGGCGGCUACCUGGUCGAGUACUGACACUGAGACACGAAAGCAUGGGGAUCAAACAGGAUUAGAUACCCGGGUAGUCC